ensembl:misc_RNA Y_RNA Y RNA
GGCUGGUCUGAAGAUAGUGAGGUAUCUCAACUGUUUUUUCACAGUCAGUUGCCAAUCAAAUUCCUUGUCCUACUCUUUCCUUCUCACUACAGUACUUGACUAGACUUUA